UUCCUCUUUCGACAUUCCGUCAUAUAUAAGUCAAUUACAACAUAGUCAAAUGUCAUUUCCACAAGCAUCUAUGUUUAUCAACUACAUACAUAAUUGGAUAUCAAACUAUUUUUUUGAUUCUCAGAGCUUGGGCUUGUGCAUAGCAUGAUCAUCAGAAUGAGUACCUGUAACUCAUGUAUCUCAUUUCAACUCCACAAACUAAUCAGAGUACACUAUGAAAAGUUUAUCCACUCCUUCCAUAAAAUUACUAACUUAUCAGGUUUGGGCUCGGGUUCAGCACUGGCCAUUCCACACUAGUUUUUUUUAUUAAUAAGGGACAGUUUUAGGAGCUUGGGGUCGUCAGGGACCUUUUGGGAAGGCUGAAAAAGUUUUAGGGUUAUUUUGGGAAAACUGGCCUAACAGACGUGGUAUCCCCAGUUCUGACGCAUAUCCUUCAAAAAAACCGGCGCCGCACUGGUUAGCCUAACACACGGUUCAUAAUCUCCUUCUAAUCUAUUGGUUUAUCGUAAGUUGUACCGUCUUUGAACACUUUUCUCUCCAGGUCGUCUGCUCUUUUCUUGCACUUCGAUGGAUUAUUGUGGUAAUUAUCCUUCUUUCUUAUCUGCAACUUCUUGUACCAUGGCUUCCAUAUUUCAUGGGAUACAUACUAGGAUCUAAUAUUCUACUGCGGAAACCAAUUAAACCAACACUUAAUGGAGUAAUAAAAUCAAACACAUCAGAAAAUCAAUGAGUGAAAUAUUAAUUGGGAACUGACCUCACUGCCUUUUCUAUUCUCUGUAUCAAAAUUGAUUGUAAAACCUAGCUCUGUAGCAAGAGGAAACACAAGUUGCUCUCCGUCAACGUGUGUGCUAACAUGUAAUAGGUGACGCAAUUGAUUAUUGCACCAUUCUCUUGGACUUUUGGGUAACUAUUUGAUAUUGUCGCUGAAGCUUGAGUUUUUUUUUUGCGUGAAGAAGAAUUGGGUAAAAGUUCUUAGGCAAAACUACUGUGCUAUAGGUGUUUGAUAAAUUUCUUAAAAGAAACUAAGUUUUCAUUAAACUUGUAGAUUUCUUUUCUGAUCUUGAGUUCUGUUUGAUCAUGGCUAUAUAGUUUACCGGCUCAAGACAGAAAAGCAAUUUAUCCUU
rnacentral:lncRNA from 1 species